GGCAAGGGUGACGCCAGGGUGACGUCAUGACGCCAAGGUGACGUGAUGACGUCGCCGAGCCAUAGGAAGGCGGAAGUCGGGAUUUAUUUAACAUUUUUUAUUUACCACUUGUUCCUCGCGGGGGUGCUGGAGCCUAUCCCAGUUGUACUCGGACGGAAGAUGGAGUACACCACUUAUCCCUAUAUUAGGGUCACUUAACAGGUACUUGAACUCCUCCAGAUGGGGCAAAAUCUCCUCUCCAUCCCGGAGAUGGCACUCCACUCUUUUUUGGGCAAUCUAUGGACCCGGUACUUCUCCUUCUUCAGCCUGACGGCAUUCUUGGUUCUGGGAUUACCACCACAGCAAGCACCAAGCACCUUGCAACCACAGCUCCAAUCGGCUGCCUCGACAGUAGAGGCACGGAACUUGGUCCACUUGGACUCAAUGUCCAGGACCUCCCUCUUGACAUGUUUACAGUUCUUCCAGGGGUACCAUGAAUUGAUUAACGUGGACCCCGACUUAAACAAGUUGAAAAACUUAUUUGGGUGUUACCAUUUAGUGGUCAAUUGUACAGAAUAUGUACUGAACUGUGCAAUCUACUAAUAAAAGUAUCAAUCAAUCAA